GUCCACGCCGUAAACGUUGGGCACUAGGUGUGGUUCCAACCAACGGAAUCCGCGCCGUCGCUAACGCAUUAAGUGCCCCGCCUGGGAGUACGAUCGCAAGAUUAAACUCAAAGGAAUUGACGGGCCCGCACAAGCAGCGGAGCGUGUUGCUUAAUUCGAUGCAACGCGAAGAACCUUACCUGGGCUUGACAUGUACGGAACAGCCGUAGAGAUACGGUGUCCUUCGGGCCGUACACAGGUGGUGCAUGGCUGUCGU
rnacentral:rRNA from 1 species